UAUUUGGAAAAGGAAGUCUUAGCUUUACUCCCAACUGCCCCACCAUAGUGCAAGAACUUGUCAGAUAUGCUCUCCCAGCCCUUCUUACUAAGGACAAUGGGUACUUGUCCAAGCCCAUCCACCAUUCUGUCAGUCGCAUCCUAAGAAGAGAUCAGAGAAGAUUCUCUCCUAGACCACGCAAAAUAGACCGAUCAUCUUUGGCACGUGUGGCCAUGACCCACAUGAGGAUUUAUAAGCGACCUAGUCACCGGGACUUCAUGUGGUUACCUUUUCUGAAUGGCUCCCGGUUCUCCUCUGCUUCCCUGUUGACUCGGUUUUGUUCUGGUUCAACAGCAGACCCCUGGUCAUCAAGUUCAUCUUCUGUUUCAUCAUCACUGUAGGGAACCACUUCGUCAUUAGGCUGAGAAUCCUCGUCAAAUGUCGUUUCUGAGUCUCUUUCUGUACUCAUUCUGCUGGCAAAUUGGAACUACCUGCUUAAAAGGAAAGAGAAACCAGAGUGAAUUAUGACUCUUGCCCAGUUUUUGGUUGAAUACUGCCUGCAUGCUGCUACAAUGCCCCUUUUACAGAACAUUGUCUAACAUGUAAAUAUUCUGGAAUAGUACCCCCAAAUUCAACUUGACAUGAAGACAAGAACAAAACCAUUCAGUACUGAUUAAAUGCUUGGCUGCACCCUUCUGGUUACCGCUAGAACUGAGCUUUCGCUCGCCGUCCACCACUGCUGUUUUGCUGCCGUCGCAGACCCGCCGCUGACUUCCAUCCCUCCAAUCCAGCAGGGCGCCCGCUGUGCUCCUGAUCCAGGGAAGCACCCGUUGCCACUCCUGAUCGCGCUAAAGGCUUGCCAUUGUUCCUGCAUGGCUAAGUGCCUGGUUUCGUCCUAAUCAAGCUGAACACUAGUCACUGGGUUCCACGGUUCUCUUCCGUGACCCACGACUUCUAAUAGAGCUAUAACACUCACCGCACGGCCCAAGAUUCCAUUCCUUGGAAUCCGUGAGGCCAAGAACCCCAGGUCAGAGAACACGAGGCUUGCCACCAUCUUGGAAGUGGCCUGCCGCCAUUUUGGAAGUGGCCCACCACCAUCUUGGGAGCUCUGGGAGCAAGGACCCCUGGCAUCUGGAUAUUAAGACUGUCUCCAGCCCUUUGAGGUUGAGAGAGGAAGCAAGCACGGAGGAAUGGAUUUGACAACCCACAUGUCCGUGACUCAAAGCAAGCAAGGCCUUGCACAACCAACUCGCCACCCACACAAUCUGCACAGUCUCAGUGAGAAAGCAGGAGCAGGGAGCUCUCCGCUGAGAGUGAAGAAAUGUCCUCAACUCGACUUCUCUGCAGUGUGCAUGUGUGUGAAACACAGACACACACGGGAGGAAUUUGGCUCUGUCAUUUUAGUGUACCAAAGAAAAAAAAACAGGGAGAAAUCACUUGUUUGAAGCCCUAAAUGACAUAAGGAAGAUUUUCCCAGAUCUAAAUAAUGAUCCCUAAGGUCAGGUGCUGUGUAUGGUAUGGAUUUGGAAACUUCAUAAUGUCUCUGACCACCACUCCAGGACACUGCAGACAGGUGUGCAUUUACUCAGCAUCCAGUAAACACCUGCAAGGUGCAGAGUACUACACUAGGCACAGGGAACAGAGCUACUGACUGACUGCCAGAGUUUCGAAGAAUACAGAUAAGUCAACUAUUAAAGCUAGGAAACAGACCGGAUGCGGUGGCUCACGCCUGUAAUCCCAGCACUUUGGAAGACCGAGGCGGGUGGAUCAACUGAGGUCAAGAGUUCAAGACCAGCCUGCCAACAUGGUGAAACUCCGUCCCUAUUAAUAAUACAAAAAAAUUAGCUGGGCAUGGUGGCACAUGCCUGUAAUCCCAGCUAUUCGGGAGGCUGAGGCAGGAGAAUUGCUUGAACCCAGGAGGCUGCAGUGAGCUGAGAUCGCGCCAUUGCACUCCAGCCUGGGCAACAAGAGCGAAACUCUGCCUCCAAUAAAUAAAUAAAUAAAAUAAAAUAAAAUAAAAUAAAGCCAUAAAACAGUAAAGCCAGUCGUUUUUGCCUCAAAUACUCCUCCAAUUCAUCACCUCCUCUCUAUCUCCAUGGCCACCAUCAUCUCUCCCUGGAAAUGCUGCGAGAUCCCUCUAACUAGACUUUCCACAAUUAACUUCCACAUGACCACCAAAGGCAUGCCAUUCUCCUGCUUACACCCUUCCUGGGUGUUAUGGAUUGAAUUAUGGCCCCCGAAGUCAUAUGUUGAAGCCAUAACACCCCUCAAUGUGACUACAUGGAGAGAGGUCCUUUAAGGAGGUAGUUAAGGUUAAAUAAGGUCAUCAGAUGGGGCCCUAAUCCAAUAGGACUUGUGUAUUUUAUUUUUAUUAUUUUUUAGACUCAGUUUCGCUCUGUUGCCCAGGCUAGAGUGCAGUGGCAU
rnacentral:lncRNA from 1 species